rnacentral:sRNA from 1 species
UUAUGAACAACGCAAAAAAACAAACGUCCAGGCACUUCCUUCAGUCUCGAGGUACUGCUUCGGGCAGCGCCCAUGACGGCCGGCUCUUCUGAGGGCAGGGAAUGCGAGAACGGAGAAGAAACAACAGAAAGCGCACAAUCUUGGGUGCGGUGCUCUCCUUUAUCGUGGAGAGGACCGCAAUGAUUGAUCGUACAA